rnacentral:lncRNA from 1 species
GUAGGGGAAGCUAUAGGGACACUAUGACCCAACCUCUUGGCCAUCACCUCAACCUCAAGGCCACUCCUGGGGUUCAUCAACUGAAUCCAUGGGACACAAUUUGAAGACUACUGAACUAGGAAACUCUAAAGGCUGAGAGGACAAAAUAACCCCUCUCGACAAUCAAUGCACACAGUUUUUGCAGAAAGAUAAGGAGACACCAUGUCUGAGCAGAAGGUUGAUGGAAUGAGGCAGUAGGAACCGAGACUGUGAACACAUGGGAACAUAGGCAAUGCACAAAAGACCCACAAGAUCAUAGAAAGCUUUGAAAGUCAGCCACCAGUGUUUGGACUUGAUCAGCAAGAAACAUGAAGCCACCCUAGAUUCUUCCAUGGGGGAGAUACAGGAUGAGCAUGUGUCUGAGGAAAAGGAGUCUGGCAACUAACUGGAUCCCUCAAUUAACUCAUAUUUUAUCUU